AGAAAAUGAAGACAUACAGAAAAAUGGAAAGAAAGAAGGAAGAAGGCAGACGGAAAUGAAUGACAAACAAAGAAUCUUGACAAACAGACAAAAAGCAAGGGACUGACAGAAGAGGAAGAAAGAAAAGAUUGAUGAAGGUCAGACAGGAGAGAAGAAAUGGAGGAAAGAAGACAGACAAGUGAGAAUGCUGAAACGAAACAGCACAUGAAAGUUUCUGACAGUUCAACGCUCAUGAAUAUUUAAUGAGGCUGGUCCUCACUCAUAACAGAGGCAGUAAAAGUGUCUGAGAGAGAAAUAUAUGACCCUCCUUCUGUUUUCCUGUGUGUUGAAGAAUAAGAGUGGACCCCACUGAUAUUUCACCCCCACCUGUCCUGCCGUUAAGAACAAUGCGGGAGCUCCUUUAUGUGUGAAUGACUCCGUCCCCACAUUCACUAUCUCUCAUAACCUGCAGGACAAACAAAGAGCCAAGCACUUCCUAUUGCUUGCUUCAGUGAAGGUGGGGUGUGAAGAAAUUUCUCCAAGGAGGAAGGUGCUCCUCAAAAAAGCUGAAU
ensembl:lncRNA